CCCUUAGAUGUUCUGGGCCGCACGCGCGCUACACUGACUGACUCAACGAGUUUACAACCUGUGCCGAAAGGUAUGGGUAAUCUUUUGAAAUUCAGUCGUGAUGGGGCUAGAUUAUUGCAACUAUUAAUCUUCAACGAGGAAUGCCUAGUAAGCGCGAAUCAUCAGUUCGCGUUGAUUACGUCCCUGCCCUUUGUACACACCGCCCGUCGCUCCUACCGAUUGAAUGGUCCGGUGAACCCUCCGGAUCGGCCCGCGCCAACGCAAGUUGAGCAAAGGCCGAGAAGUUGGGUAAACCUUACCAUUUAGAGGAAGGUGAAGUCGUAACA
rnacentral:rRNA from 1 species